UAAAUGAGAUCUAUGGCCGUCACUUCCAGCAUUCUGGAAUGUUACCUAGCCUGAAUGCAUAAACAUCAUAAUCAAAGAGAACACAAGUCAGUGCAAAGCACUCAGCUUGGCACUGUGAUGGUCCAAUCUCUCUGGCACAGUGAUUCGUUUGACAUCAUGCCAUGUACCAUGAACAUUGACUAGCAGGUCAAAAGUAAAAUCCUCUCAGGUAAUAUCAUCAUCUUAGUAACCUAGACCUACUGUUCAGUUCCAAGGCUGACAGUGACAGUAGUAACUGCUUCUGCAAUUUUACAGACUCUCCGAAAUGAAGUGCAAACCAAGUAUGUGCCAUUAGCAUGUAAUCAGUACUCCUCGCAGCAGGCUUUCAUCCUGGGACAUGUGCCCAGGAAAACUUCUUUAUUUCUGGGAAGAGAAGUAGAGCACUGAAUAAACCAAGAAGUCUAACUGGAUGAUUGGUUUGUGGCAAUUUUUAGUGAGAAGAGGUUAAAAAAAAAAAAAAUCUGUCUCUUAAGAUCUAGUCGACUUCAGGCUAAUGUCAUUGAAAAGAAACAUUAACAGUCAAAAAACAUUGCUUAAGUGCAGUGAACUGAGCUAUGGAUAAGAAAAUAGCCGUCACUUCCAGCAUUCUGGAAUGUUACCUAGCCUGAAUGCAUAAACAUCAUAAUCAAAGAGAACACAAGUCAGUGCAAAGCACUCAGCUUGGCACUGUGAUGGUCCAAUCUCUCUGGCACAGUGAUUCGUUUGACAUCAUGCCAUGUACCAUGAACAUUGACUAGCAGGUCAAAAGUAAAAUCCUCUCAGGUAAUAUCAUCAUCUUAGUAACCUAGACCUACUGUUCAGUUCCAAGGCUGACAGUGACAGUAGUAACUGCUUCUGCAAUUUUACAGACUCUCCGAAAUGAAGUGCAAACCAAGUAUGUGCCAUUAGCAUGUAAUCAGUACUCCUCGCAGCAGGCUUUCAUCCUGGGACAUGUGCCCAGGAAAACUUCUUUAUUUCUGGGAAGAGAAGUAGAGCACUGAAUAAACCAAGAAGUCUAACUGGAUGAUUGGUUUGUGGCAAUUUUUAGUGAGAAGAGGUUAAAAAAAAAAAAUCUGUCUCUUAAGAUCUAGUCGACUUCAGGCUAAUGUCAUUGAAAAGAAACAUUAACAGUCAAAAAACAUUGCUUAAGUGCAGUGAACUGAGCUAUGGAUAAGAAAAUAGCCGUCACUUCCAGCAUUCUGGAAUGUUACCUAGCCUGAAUGCAUAAACAUCAUAAUCAAAGAGAACACAAGUCAGUGCAAAGCACUCAGCUUGGCACUGUGAUGGUCCAAUCUCUCUGGCACAGUGAUUCGUUUGACAUCAUGCCAUGUACCAUGAACAUUGACUAGCAGGUCAAAAGUAAAAUCCUCUCAGGUAAUAUCAUCAUCUUAUUAACCUAGACCUACUGUUCAGUUCCAAGGCUGACAGUGACAGUAGUAACUGCUUCUGCAAUUUUACAGACUCUCCGAAAUGAAGUGCAAACCAAGUAUGUGCCAUUAGCAUGUAAUCAGUACUCCUCGCAGCAGGCUUUCAUCCUGGGACAUGUGCCCAGGAAAACUUCUUUAUUUCUGGGAAGAGAAGUAGAGCACUGAAUAAACCAAGAAGUCUAACUGGAUGAUUGGUUUGUGGCAAUUUUUAGUGAGAAGAGGUUAAAAAAAAAAAAAUCUGUCUCUUAAGAUCUAGUCGACUUCAGGCUAAUGUCAUUGAAAAGAAACAUUAACAGUCAAAAAACAUUGCUUAAGUGCAGUGAACUGAGCUAUGGAUAAGAAAAUAGAAGGUUCAUUCUUAUCCAAGCUCCACCAUUCAUUCGUUUAAAUCUGAAAUAUUUCUUCAGCACCUACCGUAUGCUGGGCAGUCUGUGCCUCUUAGAAAGUUUCUCUAUAGGAAAAUCAAUUAUUCUAUAAGCAAAUAAUUACUGUCUAUUUUGCACUAAGCUCUACAUUAAGCAAAGGAUUACAAUGGCAAACGACAACUGGUACAGUCCACACCUGCCUAGAAUUUGGUGUGCUUGUCUUUCUGAGUUUUACUUCCCUAAGGUCAGAAAACCAACGUGAGAAUUCUAUCUGCUAGGAGAGUUCGUCUAUAUUAUGCAUUCAAGAAAGAAGCUAGAUUACUAUUCAUUGUAAAGACCUCGUUUCCCUGUGUGCCAGCAGUGUGCAGAAUAUAAAUGUUUGGUACCUAUCACACAACAGGAAAGCCUGAAACAAAGUCAUAAACACUUGGAAUGACCCACUGGAAAAAGACUGCUGCUCCUGUUGACCAAAAGAUUUCCUCUACAUGAUGAUGUUCCAGAGAAAAGAUGUCACUGUCCCGAUAAGGACCCGUUCGAGUGCUUCUGAUCACUGACAGCUAUCAAAGUAAAAGAAAAACUCAGCUAAUUGGUGUUUCCCAUGGGAACAGGAUCCUUAGGAGGACUGGACUGCACAUCCCACCAAGGACUUGAAAUUUUUUAAACUGUUGAUACUGAACUCAACUGAAAGAAGGAUUUACCCCAAAGAUACAGAUGCAAUGAAACGCCAGGACACCUGCACCCCGAUGUUUCUAGC